AAAACUUUCAACAACGGAUCUCUUGGCUUUGGCAUCGAUGAAGAACGCAGCGAAAUGCGAUAAGUAAUGUGAAUUGCAGAAUUCAGCGAAUCAUCGAAUCUUUGAACGCACAUUGCACCUAUUAGCAUUCUAGUAGGUAUGCCUGUCCGAGCGUCAUUUCAACCCUCAGGCCUCACGCUUUUAGCGGGAGGAGCCUGGUGUUGGGGGUCUCUCCCCCCGCGGCUCCGGCCGUGGGGCCCCCGAAAGCCAUCGGCGGUGCCUGCCAGCACUCCGGGCGCAGUAGAACACACCUCGCCCUGGACGUCUGGCGGCGCGCUGGCCGCUAAAAAGGGUCGAGCCACAGCGGCUCGACCGCUAAUCACAAUGGUUGACCUCGGAUCAGGUAGGAAUACCCGCUGAACUUAAGCAUAUCAAUAAGCGGAGGAAAAGAAACCAACAGGGAUUGCCCUAGUAACGGCGAGUGAAGCGGCAACAGCUCAAAUUUGAAAUCUGGCUUCGGCCCGAGUUGUAAUUUGCAGAGGAUGCUUUUGGCGAGGCGCCUUCCGAGUUCCCUGGAACGGGACGCCGUAGAGGGUGAGAGCCCCGUACGGUUGGACGCCGAGCCUCUGUAAAGCUCCUUCGACGAGUCGAGUAGUUUGGGAAUGCUGCUCAAAAUGGGAGGUAAAUUUCUUCUAAAGCUAAAUACCGGCCAAAGACCGAUAGCGCACAAGUAGAGUGAUCGAAAGAUGAAAAGCACUUUGAAAAGAGGGUUAAACAGCACGUGAAAUUGUUGAAAGGGAAGCGCUCAUGACCAGACUUGCGCCCUGCGGAUCAGCCAGCGUUCUCGCUGGUGCCUCUGCAGGGCCCAGGCCAGCAUCGGUCUCAGCGGGGGGAUAAAGGUGGAGGGAACGUGGCUCCCCCGGGAGUGUUAUAGCCCUCUGCAGAAUACCGCCGCCGGGACCGAGGACCGCGCUACGGCAAGGAUGUUGGCGUAAUGGUCAUCAGCGACCCGUCUUGAAACACGGACCAAGGAGUCAAGCAUUAGGGCGAGUGUUUGGGUGUAAAACCCGCACGCGAAAUGAAAGUGAACGUUGGUGAGAGCUUCGGCGCAUCAUCGACCGAUCCUGAUGUUCUCGGAUGGAUUUGAGUAAGAGCCUUACCGCUUGGACCCGAAAGUUGAUGAACUAUGCCUGUAUAGGGUGAAGCCAGAGGAAACUCUGGUGGAGGCUCGCAGCGGUUCUGACGUGCAAAUCGAUCGUCAAAUAUGGGCAUGGG
rnacentral:rRNA from 1 species